UUUCAGCCAAUUUCAUAUGAUCAGCAGCCAGUCCAUUGUGAGCUCCCAAUGCUAAAGUACCCGGCAAGAAGCAAACUAAGUGAUCCUGCAAGGCAAGACAACUCUUACUGAGAAGUUACACAUCAAACGGCAAGGGGAGAAGUAUUUCUUACCAUCUUGGCACUGAAAUGGCCAUGAGCAAGCUCUCCUACAAAAGUACUUUUAAUAUGGGAAACAACCUGUUGAUUGUGAGGCUCACGAAACGCUAUUGUGGUCCCAAAUACACUGGUUCUCCAUUUACAGUAAGAGUUUCACAACUUAUUUAUCAUAACUUAUAGACUCCUAAGACCAUGAGUACCGAUGGAGAGUCAGUGGCAGAGCUCCAGAGAAAUACAACAAGGAAGAGAUAUGAACUGAUUCUUCCAUACCUGGAAUUUCUCAUCUC